AUUGAACGCUGGCGGCAGGCCUAACACAUGCAAGUCGAACGGUAACAGGAAGCAGCUUGCUGCUUCGCUGACGAGUGGCGGACGGGUGAGUAAUGUCUGGGAAGCUGCCUGAUGGAGGGGGAUAACUACUGGAAACGGUAGCUAAUACCGCAUAAUUUCGCAAGACCAAAGAGGGGGACCUUCGGGCCUCUUGCCAUCGGAUGUGCCCAGAUGGGAUUAGCUUGUUGGUGGGGUAACGGCUCACCAAGGCGACGAUCCCUAGCUGGUCUGAGAGGAUGACCAGCCACACUGGAACUGAGACACGGUCCAGACUCCUACGGGAGGCAGCAGUGGGGAAUAUUGCACAAUGGGCGCAAGCCUGAUGCAGCCAUGCCGCGUGUAUGAAGAAGGCCUUCGGGUUGUAAAGUACUUUCAGCGGGGAGGAAGGGAGUAAAGUUAAUACCUUUGCUCAUUGACGUUACCCGCAGAAGAAGCACCGGCUAACUCCGUG
rnacentral:rRNA from 1 species